CUACGGGGUGCACCAGUGGGGAAUAUUGGACAAUGGGGGAAACCCUGAUCCAGCAAUGCCGCGUGUGUGAAGAAGGCCUGCGGGUUGUAAAGCACUUUCGGUUGGGAGGACUGCUUCUAGCACUAAUAUUGUUGGAAGUUGACGUUACCUUCAGAAGAAGCACCGGCUAACUCCGUGCCAGCAGCCGCGGUAAUACGGAGGGUGCAAGCGUUAAUCGGAAUUACUGGGCGUAAAGCGCGCGUAGGCGGCUAGAUCAGUCGGGUGUGAAAGCCCCGGGCUUAACCUGGGAACUGCAUCCGAUACUGUCUAGCUUGAGUACAGGAGAGGAGAGUGGAAUUCCACAUGUAGCGGUGAGAUGCGUAGAUAUGUGGAGGAACACCAAUGGCGAAGGCAGCUCUCUGGCCUGAUACUGACGCUGAGGUGCGAAAGCGUGGGGGGCAAACAGGAUUAGAUACCCGAGUAGUC
rnacentral:rRNA from 1 species